AGGAUAAUAGUUAAAAAAACAACAUUUAAUUUGCAUUUAAAAAAUAUUGACUAAUCAAUUUAUCUUA
rnacentral:tRNA from 1 species